GUGAAAUGACUUCCUUCACCAUUGCAAAUCAGUGCUACUCUUUGUUCACUUUGUGGUCUUAGAGUGUUCUUUGGGACACUGAGAUGUGAAGUCAUCUAUCUGCCCAGGGUGGAACAACCAGGAUGAAAGGGGAUGGGGACCAAGGUCAUCUCAACACCGAGACUGCCUCAUAGGUUGUUAUUAUGGAUCAGGGCCUAGCAUCACACAAGGAACAUAGAAGUACAUGGCUGCAAUAUAAUAAAUUCUUCUUGGUUGAACUCUAAGGCUCUGUCCUCAGAGUCAAUGUUUCUUCCAGUGUUCUAAUGGGUGGGAUUAGGGAUUAGGUAAGGAGGAAUGGGAUGCCUUCAGAUCCAAGAAAAUUAUAGAAAUGUAGCAGCUGUCCUGGGUGCUCAAAAGAAUGUGGACACCACUGUCAGGAAAUUUGAAGGUCUUCUAUGUUUACUCUUCCUGGAGCAAUAAAUUACCACAGGGAGCUGAAGGGGUUCUGGAGAACAAAAACCAGAAUGGUGGAAUUGGAAGGGCCUUUAAGACACAGAAUGUCAGAGCUGGGACAGAUCUUAGAACAUAGAACAUCAGAGCCGAGAAGUUCCUUAGAAGAUAGAACAUCAGAGACGAGAAAACUGAGGCUCAAAUAGGGGAGGUAUUACCAAAUACCACAGGACUGGUAAGUGACAGAGCUUGGAUUCAAACUCAGGCCUCUUGAUCCCCCCCCCCCUCGGCAGACUCCUU
rnacentral:lncRNA from 1 species